CAAUAACUUCAAACAUAUUUUUACGUCAAUGAUUAUCAAUAGGAGAAAGUCAUCGCUCCGUUAUUGGCCCUUGGACUCCCCUGGCAUCGCAUGUACAGCAUGAAGUUUUCAGCAAUGAAGGUAUAUUCUAGGCCUAUGUCCUAAUGUCCAGUUUUUUAACAGUUUUGAAAAUAACUGUGCCUUUAGUUUUCCAGAACGAGAACCAAGCCCUGAGGGAGGAGAACCAAGCCCUGAGGGAGGAGAACCAAGCCCUGAGGGAGUGGAGCCAUGCACGAGCAGCUUCGGGUGACAGCGGCUCGCUUCAAGAGCAGGUGAAGCUAUUUGGGACAACGCUGAAGAUGUUUGCUCGCACUGGGCAAUCAGGUACAACUUGCAAACAACACCUGUGGUUGUUGAUUUAAUUCCCACUGGGUCCACAUGUACGUGUAUUAGACCUAGGUAUAAA
rnacentral:lncRNA from 1 species